CAACUUUCAGCAACGGAUCUCUUGGCUCUCGCAUCGAUGAAGAACGCAGCGAAAUGCGAUAAGUAAUGUGAAUUGCAAAAUUCAGUGAAUCAUCGAAUCUUUGAACGCAUCUUGCGCUCCUUGGUAUUCCGAGGAGCAUGCCUGUUUGAGUGUCAUGA
rnacentral:rRNA from 1 species